ACGAACAGAAGUGAAACAGCGCAACCGUGAGGCUUUGGAGAAGAAUAAGCAACGCUUUGCUGACGCAAGGAGACGGCAAAAUGCAUAAAUUGGAUGGACUUCUGAUGAAAGAGACUGGGCAGGGCCUGAGGCAGAGGAAGUGAUCUGCUAUUUCACACACUGCUGGUGAAGUUCAGCUCUCGACUACGGUCUCGGUCAUCUGGAAUGCGGAGUCACCUCCUCCGUCUACCAGAGGUCGUCUCUUUCCCUCUUCCACCGCCACCUCCCUCUGCCACCACGCUGUGGAAGUCGCCGCUGGACAGUGCGGACAGGACAC